ACGGAGCGGCGAACGGGUGAGUAACACGUGGGCAACCUGCCCCUAGCUCUGGGAUAACUCCUCGAAAGAGGGGCUAAUACCGGAUACGACCUCGGAAGGCAUUUUCUGAGGUGGAAAGUUUUUCGGCUAGGGAUGGGCCCGCGGCCUAUCAGCUUGUUGGUGAGGUAACGGCCCACCAAGGCGACGACGGGUAGCCGGCCUGAGAGGGCGACCGGCCACACUGGGACUGAGACACGGCCCAGACUCCUACGGGAGGCAGCAGUGGGGAAUAUUGCGCAAUGGGCGAAAGCCUGACGCAGCGACGCCGCGUGAGGGAUGAAGGCCUUCGGGUUGUAAACCUCUUUCAGCAGGGACGAAAACAGACGGUACCUGCAGAAGAAGCACCGGCCAACUACGUGC
rnacentral:rRNA from 1 species